rnacentral:rRNA from 1 species
UACGUAGGGUGCGAGCGUUGUCCGGAAUUACUGGGCGUAAAGAGCGUGUAGGCGGCCAGAUAAGUCCGCUGUGAAAUCUCGAGGCUCAACUUCGAGCUGUCGGUGGAAACUGUCUGGCUAGAGUCCGGAAGAGGAGAAUGGAAUUCCUGGUGUAGCGGUGAAAUGCGCAGAUAUCAGGAAGAACACCCGUGGCGAAGGCGGUUCUCUGGGACGGUACUGACGCUGAGACGCGAAAGCGUGGGGAGCGAACAGG